GUCUACAGCCAUACUAUCCUGAACAUAUCCAGUCUCCUCUGAUCUCAGAAGCUAAGCAGGGUGAGGCCUGGCUAGUACUUAAAAGGGAGAACUCCAUUUUAUAAAGAAAAGUUAAUGAUAAAGUUAUUGUAAAUA
rnacentral:rRNA from 1 species